rnacentral:rRNA from 1 species
UACGGAGGGGGCUAGCGUUGUUCGGAAUUACUGGGCGUAAAGCGUACGUAGGCGGCUUUGUAAGUUAGAGGUGAAAGCCCGGGGCUCAACUCCGGAAUUGCCUUUAAGACUGCAUCGCUUGAAUCAUGGAGAGGUGAGUGGAAUUCCGAGUGUAGAGGUGAAAUUCGUAGAUAUUCGGAAGAACACCAAUGCGAAGGCAGCUCGCUGGGACGUUACGUGACGCUGAGACGCGAAAAGCGUGGGGAGCAAACAGG